rnacentral:misc_RNA from 1 species
AGAACAUCUGAACUAUUGCUUUGCAUGACAGGUUAGCAAAGUAUUCCAUUCUGGCUAGCUCCAAUCUUAUGGAGUUCUCCUGACCAAAAUGGUCUAAAAGAUAUAUAUUGUCUUGCUUCUAUAUUUCCUGAUAGUCCCCUCCAUAAUAUCAUUAAGACCUGGGUGGCUAAUUCUUAAAAGAUAGACAUGUAAGCAACCUAUAUUCCUGUAUUAGUGAACAUGCAUGUGCACACGCAUUCUUGCAUGAAUGCAAAAAGUUAUAGCAUUAAAUUUAAAUCCUCAAGCAGUCCAUCUAAACCACACCAUGCCAAACACAAUCUACCUUUAUGUUGAAAAUUCUUG